CAUACUUCCUUUCUUUCUCUAUCUAUCUAUCUUUUAAACCAUGAUUAAUAUUCUAGUUGCAAUAGAUCGGAAACGUGUAUUUUAAGGUCUUGCUUAAACCUUUCCGAUCUGGCCAAGAGCCACGCAUCAUUUUAAUGACACCAUCGUCUCUCAGCAUACUCAUUCGCUUUUAAUGCGAUUUUGGCAACGACGAUGUCUCAGAAGCACAUGUUGUCAUUAAUCAAAAUAUACGAGGAGGGAGGAGAUAAAUUGGUUGCUUGGUUGGUUACUUGGUUGCUUGAUUGGUUGCUUGCUUACUUGGUGAGAAAUAGGUGAUAGGAAAUUAGGGACUAGCUAGUGAUAAAAAAAAAGAAGAUAUCGAGCGAACCAAUCGAGCGGACAUUCAUUGGACAAAACAGGCUAUUUAAAAUAUACAAGGGUGAUUGGUGUUGGUGAUGGAGUCGGAGGGAGUGGUGGGAGAGAAGGAUUCUUUACCCUCUGGUUGUUUCAAAAUGACGAUCGAAGAUCACACGAACGGCGCUCGCCGAUGGAUAAUCCGACGGACGAGUAAAGCGAGCAUUUCUCAUUUCCGCUCGAUGGCGUCGAUUAAUCGACCGCUCGUACACGGUGAUGUAAUUGGAAAUCGCCCCUUCGUACUGGGUGCCGCGAUCCUGAAUUACGCGAAUCCAUCCACCGGAACUAUAGCUAUUUUGGUCAUUACGUCAAAUGCAGAACUACGGAUGAAAACUUGUCGAACGAUCCAUUACCGUUGUCUCCGUUGAGAUAGAGAGAGAGAGAGAGAGAGAGAGAGAGAGAAGGGGAGAAGGAGAGAGAAUAAAAAAAAAAAGAAAAAAAAAAUUGAAAGAGAUGGAAAAAAAAAAGGAACGUCCAAUUUUUAAUCAAAAUUCGCCAUUCCCGUGGACCUCAUUCUCCCUCUACCUAUCCACUCCCUCUUUUUAUCUCUUCACUCCACUCUUCUUCUCUCCUCUCGAACGAACAUAACGAAUUCUGUCCGGCCGAGGAAUAGAUUUUUUGAAUUUGUCUCCCUUCUUGUUCGACAUUAUGGACAAAGUUGUACACCGGUCUGAACGAGUAAAAUUAGUUCACUGGGUCACGACCAACAUACACAGUCCUUUUCUUCCCAUCCAUACCCUCCAUCUCUACAUCCUCCUUCUCUUCCUCCUCCUCCUAACCUCCUCCCUAACCCUCUUGUUUCCCCAAUCCAUCUACUCGCCCUUUCCGUUCUUUCUCUAUCGCGUUUAGCGUUUUAAAAUCGCGAAAAAUGUUCUGUUUUUCUUUCUCUUUUUUUCCCUUUUCUUUUCUCGUUCUCUCUCUCUCUCUCUCUCCCUCUCUUUCUUCCCUUUCAAAAUUACAAAAGCACACGUACGUACAUACGUACGUACGUAUGUGUAAUUAUUGAUUAAAAAACUUGUUAAAAGAAAUCGAAUAAAAAUCGUAAGGUGAUUUUGUGAUCAUUAUUUACUCAUAUAUUUACAUACGUUCUUCUAAAGUGGAAGAAGGAGAAGAAAAAAAGGGUAAUUAAAAAUGAAAUAAGAAAAAAAAACGAGAGAGAGAGAGAGAGAGAGAACAAGACAAGGGAUAAUGAUUCGAAAGAAGAAGAAGAAAAAAAAAAUAUUUAUUCGCAACUUGCCAGUCGAUUAAUUCGAAUGAGAAAACGAUA